rnacentral:rRNA from 1 species
GAGUUUGAUCCUGGCUCAGGAUGAACGCUGGCGGCGCGCCUAACACAUGCAAGUCGAACGGAGCAUUGAGAGCUUGCUUUUAAUGCUUAGUGGCGAACGGGUGAGUAACGCGUGAGUAACCUGCCCUGGAGUGGGGGACAACAGUUGGAAACGACUGCUAAUACCGCAUAAGCCCACGAUCCGGCAUCGGAUUGAGGGAAAAGGAUUUAUUCGCUUCAGGAUGGACUCGCGUCCAAUUAGCUAGUUGGUGAGGUAACGGCCCACCAAGGCAACGAUCGGUAGCCGGACUGAGAGGGUGAACGGCCACAUUGGGACUGAGACACGGCCCAGACUCCUACGGGAGGCAGCAGUGGGGAAUAUUGCACAAUGGGCGCAAGCCUGAUGCAGCGACGCCGCGUGCGGGAUGACGGCCUUCGGGUUGUAAACCGCCUUUGACUGGGAGCAAGCCCUUCGGGGUGAGUGUACCUUUCGAAUAAGCACCGGCUAACUACGUGCCAGCCGCCGCGGUAAUAC